rnacentral:rRNA from 1 species
AUCGAACGCUGGCGGCAUGCCUUACACAUGCAAGUCGAACGGCAGCACGGGUUCUUGCUCCUGGCUGCGAGUGGCGAACGGGUGAGUAUUACAUCGGAACAUGUCCUGUUGUGGGGGAUAGCACGGCGUAAGCAGGAAUACUACCGCAUACGAUAUACGGAUGACAGCGGGGGACCUUCGGGCCUCGCGCAUUAGAUCUGGCCGAUGGCUGAUUAGCUAGUUGGUGGGGUAAAGGCCUACCAAGGCGACGAUCAGUAGCUGGACUGAGAGGACGACCGGCCACACUGGGACUGAGACACGGCCCAGACUCCUACGGGAGGCAGCAGUGGGGAAUUUUGGACAAUGGACGAAAGCCUGAUCCAGCAAUGCCGCGUGUGUGAAGAAGGCCUUCGGGUUGUAAAGCACUGUUGUCCGGAAAGAAAGUCGGGGCCCGAAGACGGUCGAUGGAUGACGGUACCGGAAGAAUAAGGACCGGGUAACUACGUG